GGUCGCGUGGCCCAAUGGCAAGGCGUUUGACUACGAUACGUUCUAAUACGGUCUAUCAAAAGAUUGCGAGUUCGAUCCUCGCCGUGACCU
rnacentral:tRNA from 1 species